rnacentral:piRNA from 1 species
CAGAAGCAGACCACCGUAUAGUGAC